rnacentral:rRNA from 1 species
UGAAAGCAACAAGCUGCAAGAAUUAGUGUGAUUUGCAGGACAUUGAUCAUCAAUACUUCAAAUACACCUUAUGACCCUGGGUUUCUUCCUAGGGCUACGACUGUCUAGG